rnacentral:lncRNA from 1 species
CAUUGACACCAUGGCUGCUACCAAGUGGUUACUGCUCCUCUUCUCAGUAGCCCUGUUGGGCCUGAGCUCUGCUCAAUUCACUGAUGAGGAGGAUGAACAAAAUUCAGAAGAUCCAGUAGAUGUAGAACCAUUAGACUCCCAGCAGGAUGAUCAGAACCCUGGCCAGCAACAAGGUGGUAACCAGAAACCUGGACCUCCAGGUGGCCACCAAGGAGAUCCUCCAGGUGGACAGCAAGGAGUUCAGCAGGGUGGACAGCAAGGAGGCCAUCGAGGUGGUCAGCAAGGAGGCCAUCCGGGUGGCCACCAAAGAGGUCAUCCAGGUGGUCAGCAUGGAGGCCGUCCAGGUGGCCCACAAGGAGUGAAUAAAAAGGAAGAUGUCCAUUCAGGAGGCUCCCUUGAAGUCCUCAUGUGGACCAGGAUAUUGGGAUAGUACAUACCUCUUGAUCUGCUCCAUCAUUUCUUUAUAAUACCAAUAAAUACACCUUUAAUU